GCCUGGCUAGCUCAGUCGGUAGAACAUGAGACUUAAUCUCAGAGUCGUGAGUUAGAGCCCCACGUUAGGCA
rnacentral:tRNA from 1 species